rnacentral:rRNA from 1 species
AGUAGUCAUAUGCUUGUCUCAAAGAUUAAGCCAUGCAUGUGUAAGUAUGAACUAUUUCAGACUGUGAAACUGCGAAUGGCUCAUUAAAUCAGUUAUAGUUUGUUUGAUGGUACGUGCUACCGGAUAACCGUAGUAAUUCUAGAGCCAAUACGCGCAACAAACCCCCGACUUCCUGGAGGGAUGCAUUUAUUAGAUAAAAAAGGUUGACGUGGGCUUUGCCCGCCGCUCGAUGAUUCAUGAUAACUCAACGGAUCGCACGCCCCCUCGUGCCAGCGACGCAUCAUUCAAAUUUCUGCCCUAUCAACUUUCGAUGGUAGGAUAGGGGCCUACCAUGGUGGUGACGGACGGGUGACGGAGAAUUAGGGUUCGAUUCGGAGAGGGUGCCCGAAACGGCUACCACAUCCAAGGAAGGCAGCGGUAGCAAAAAUUACCCUAUCCCGACACGGGGAGGUAGUGACAAUAAAAACAAUACCGGGCUCUUCGAACCGGUAAUUGGAAUGAGUACAAUCUAAAUCCCUUUAACGAGAUCCAUUGGAGGGCAAGUCCGGUGCCGGCAGAGCCACGGUAAUUCCAGCUCCAAUAGCGUAUAUUUAAGUUGUUGCGCUUAAAAAAAGCUCGUAGUUGGACUUUGGGUCGGGUCGGUCGGUCCGCCUUCAUGGUGUGCACCGGUCGUCCCAUCCCUUCUGUCGGCGAUCGUGCCGGCCUUAACUGGUCGGUCGCCUCCCCUCGCCAUUUUUACUUUGAAGAAAUUAGAGUGCUCAAAGCAAGCCCACGCCCGGAUACAUUAGCAUGGGAUAACAUCACAGGAUUUCGUCCUAUUGUGUUGGCCUUCGGGAUCGGAGUAAUGAUUAAGUGGGACAGUCAGGGGCAUUCAGAUUUCAUAGUUAGAGGUGAAAUUCUUGGAUUUAUGAAAGACGAACCACCACCGCGAAAGCAUUUGCCAAGGAUGUUUUCAUUAAUCAAGAACGAAAGUUGGGGGCUCAAGACGAUCGAUACCGCCCUAGUCUCAACCAUAAAUGAUGCCGACCGGGGAUCGGCGGAUGUUGCUCUUAGGACUCCGCGGCACCUUAUGAGAAAUCAAAGUCUUUGGGUUCCGGGGAGUAUGGUCGCAAGGGUGAAAACUUAAAGGAAUUGACGGAAGGGCACCACCAGAGUGGAGCUUGCGGCUUAAUUUGACUCAACACGGGAAACUUACCAGUCCGCAGACAUAGCAAGGAUUGACAGACCGAGAGCUCUUUCUUGAUUCUAUGGGUGGUGGUGCAUGGCCGUUCUUAGUUGGUGGAGCGAUUUGUCCGGUUAAUUCGAUAACGAACGAGACCUCAUCCUGCUAACUAGCUACGCGGAGGCAUCCCUCCGCCGCCAGCUUCUUAGAGGGACUAUGGCCGUUUAGGCCACGGAAGUUUGAG